AUUGAACGCUGGCGGCAUGCUUUACACAUGCAAGUCGAACGGCAGCGGGGGCUUCGGCCUGCCGGCGAGUGGCGAACGGGUGAGUAAUGCAUCGGAACGUGCCCAUGUCGUGGGGGAUAACUACGCGAAAGCGUGGCUAAUACCGCAUACGCCCUGAGGGGGAAAGCGGGGGAUCUUUCGGGACCUCGCGCGAUUGGAGCGGCCGAUGUCGGAUUAGCUAGUUGGUGGGGUAAAGGCUCACCAAGGCGACGAUCCGUAGCUGGUCUGAGAGGAUGAUCAGCCACCCUGGGACUGAGACACGGCCCAGACUCCUACGGGAGGCAGCAGUGGGGAAUUUUGGACAAUGGGCGCAAGCCUGAUCCAGCCAUGCCGCGUGAGUGAAGAAGGCCUUCGGGUUGUAAACUGCUUUUGUACGGAACGAAAAGUCUUGGGUUAAUACCCUGGGAUCAUGACGGUACCGUAAGAAUAAGCACCGGCUAACUACGUGCCAGCAGCCGCCGUAAGAC
rnacentral:rRNA from 1 species